rnacentral:rRNA from 1 species
GGCGAACGCUGGCGGCGUGCUUAAUACAUGCAAGUCGAACGGAAAGGCCCUGCUUUUGUGGGGUGCUCGAGUGGCGAAAGGGUGUGUAACACGUGAGUAACCUCCCCUUGACUUUGGGAUAACUCCAGGAAACUGGGGCUAAUAUCGGAUAGGAGCUCCUGCUGCAUGGGGGGGGUUGGAAAGUUUCGGCGGUUGGGGAUGGACUCGCGGCUUAUCAGCUUGUUGGUGGGGUAGUGGCGUACCAAGGCUUUGACGGGUAGCCGGCCUGAGAGGGUGACCGGCCACAUUGGGACUGAGGUACGGCCCAGACGCCUACGGGAGGAAGCAGUGGAAAAUAUUGCGCAAUAGGCCGAAGCCUGAUGCAGCAACGCCGCGUGCGGGAUGACGGCUUUCGGGUUGUAAACCGCUUUCGCCUGUGACGAAGCGUGAGUGACGGUAAUGAGUAAAGAAGCAACGGCUAACUACGUG